AAAAUGCUAGUAAAACAACAAUUACUUUGCCUUGUCAAGGCAAAAUCGCGGGUUAAACUCCCGCGCAUUUUA
rnacentral:tRNA from 1 species